CCUGGGGACAGGGGAUUGGGGCAG
rnacentral:miRNA from 1 species